rnacentral:ncRNA from 2 species
CGACUCCCCACUGGAGAGAGGUCCGAAUUGGCGCUUGCGCCCAUGCGGCCCCACCGAAGGAGCAACCCGCAGCCCAAGCCCACCGAUGGCGACAAGGCACGGCGAAUCUCUCAGGUAAAGCGGACAGCGGGGGCAGC